rnacentral:rRNA from 1 species
CCUACUGGUGGCAGCAGUGGGGAAUAUUGGGCAAUGGGCGCAAGCCUGACCCAGCAAAGCCGCGUGAAGGAAGACGGCUUUCGGGUUGUAAACUUCUUUUAAGAGGGAAGAGCAGAAGACGGUACCUCCUGAAUAAGACACGGCUAACUACGUGCCAGCAGCCGCGGUCAUACGUAGGUGGCCAGCGUUGUACGGAUUUACUGGGUGUAAAGGGCGUGCAGCCGGGAAGACAAGUCAGAUGUGAAAUCCAGCGGCUCAACCGCGGAACUGCAUUUGAUACUGGUUUUCUUGAGUACCGUAGAGGUCAGCGGAAUUCCUGGUGUAGCGGUGAAAUGCGUAGAUAUAAGGAAGAACACCGAUGGCGAAGGCGGAUGACUGGACGGCAACUGACGGUGAGGCGCGAAAGCGUGGGGAGCAAACAGGAUUAGAUACCCUGGUAGUC